CAAGGUUAAGCAGUAAAUGUGGAGCCGUAGCGAAAGCGAGUCUGAAUAGGGCGUUUAGUAUUUGGUCGUAGACCCGAAACCAGGUGAUCUACCCUUGGUCAGGUUGAAGUUCAGGUAACACUGAAUGGAGGACCGAACCGACUUACGUUGAAAAGUGAGCGGAUGAACUGAGGGUAGCGGAGAAAUUCCAAUCGAACCUGGAGAUAGCUGGUUCUCUCCGAAAUAGCUUUAGGGCUAGCCUCAAGUGAUGAUUAUUGGAGGUAGAGCACUGUUUGGACGAGGGGCCCCUCUCGGGUUACCGAAUUCAGACAAACUCCGAAUGCCAAUUAAUUUAACUUGGGAGUCAGAACAUGGGUGAUAAGGUCCGUGUUCGAAAGGGAAACAGCCCAGACCACCAGCUAAGGUCCCAAAAUAUAUGUUAAGUGGAAAAGGAUGUGGCGUUGCCCAGACAACUAGGAUGUUGGCUUAGAAGCAGCCAUCAUUUAAAGAGUGCGUAAUAGCUCACUAGUCGAGUGACACUGCGCCGAAAAUGUACCGGGGCUAAACAUAUUACCGAAGCUGUGGAUUGUCCUUUGGACAAUGGUAGGAGAGCGUUCUAAGGGCGUUGAAGCAUGAUCGUAAGGACAUGUGGAGCGCUUAGAAGUGAGAAUGCCGGUGUGAGUAGCGAAAGACGGGUGAGAAUCCCGUCCACCGAUUGACUAAGGUUUCCAGAGGAAGGCUCGUCCGCUCUGGGUUAGUCGGGUCCUAAGCUGAGGCCGACAGGCGUAGGCGAUGGAUAACAGGUUGAUAUUCCUGUACCACCUAUAAUCGUUUUAAUCGAUGGGGGGACGCAGUAGGAUAGGCGAAGCGUGCGAUUGGAUUGCACGUCUAAGCAGUAAGGCUGAGUAUUAGGCAAAUCCGGUACUCGUUAAGGCUGAGCUGUGAUGGGGAGAAGACAUUGUGUCUUCGAGUCGUUGAUUUCACACUGCCGAGAAAAGCCUCUAGAUAGAAAAUAGGUGCCCGUACCGCAAACCGACACAGGUAGUCAAGAUGAGAAUUCUAAGGUGAGCGAGCGAACUCUCGUUAAGGAACUCGGCAAAAUGACCCCGUAACUUCGGGAGAAGGGGUGCUCUUUAGGGUUAACGCCCAGAAGAGCCGCAGUGAAUAGGCCCAAGCGACUGUUUAUCAAAAACACAGGUCUCUGCUAAACCGUAAGGUGAUGUAUAGGGGCUGACGCCUGCCCGGUGCUGGAAGGUUAAGAGGAGUGGUUAGCUUCUGCGAAGCUACGAAUCGAAGCCCCAGUAAACGGCGGCCGUAACUAUAACGGUCCUAAGGUAGCGAAAUUCCUUGUCGGGUAAGUUCCGACCCGCACGAAAGGCGUAACGAUUUGGGCACUGUCUCAACGAGAGACUCGGUGAAAUCAUAGUACCUGUGAAGAUGCAGGUUACCCGCGACAGGACGGAAAGACCCCGUGGAGCUUUACUGUAGCCUGAUAUUGAAAUUCGGCACAGCUUGUACAGGAUAGGUAGGAGC
rnacentral:rRNA from 1 species